UUCGGGAUCUGGAAGAGUGGCGAACGGGUGAGUAACACGUAAGAAUCUGCCUCUCGGACGGGGAUAACUUUUGGAAACGAAAGCUAAUACCCGAUACGCUGUGGAGUGAAAGAAUUUCGCCGAGAGAUGAUCUUGCGUCUGAUUAGCUAGUUGGUGUGGUAAAGGCACACCAAGGCGACGAUCAGUAGCUGGUCUGAGAGGAUGGACAGCCACAUUGGAACUGAGACACGGUCCAAACUUC
rnacentral:rRNA from 1 species